rnacentral:lncRNA from 1 species
CUAUUAUGCAUAAGAGGCUCAUAAAUGCUCUAAUUAAUUCAAAAUAAAAACUUCAAGAAGAAAACAUUUCAACUAAAUUUAUAUUUAAUAAAAACUAGGGCAUGCCUUUGCUUCGUAGAUGCGUGGACCGUGAAAAGCUAGGACCUUCUCGCCUUCGGAGAAGAUAUUUUUGGAAUUGGACUCCGGCACCUCGCCAGGGGAGUUCUCGCGAUCACUCGCUGAUUCUUCGCUCAAGCUCUUACCCAUUUUCUUUUAGAAAUUUUCUUUCACUUCUACAAAGUGUUGGAGAGAUUUUAUUAAUUUUUCUUCGUAUUUGGAUAACAAAGAAGCGGCGGCCGCGGCGACGGAUACUUACACUGAUAGAAGGCGGAGUGCGCGACGGAUUCGCAACGGGUGGGAGUGCUGGAGUGUGAUAUUAAAGAUUGAAAGAGAGAAAAUAGCGGUGGAGGCCCUCAUCGUACUGCUCUUGUUACAUUUUGGUACCUAAUCUUUACGGAGUAUUUCACAUUCAUAGCAUUCGUAUUUCGUAAUUGCGAGUAAAUGAUUUCUGCCUAAAUUACCUUGAAAUGAAUCGAGAAACAAGUUAAGACUAAUGUGUCAAUAAAUAAG